CCUCCCCCCUCCUGGCCCCGCCCCUCCCCCUCCCCCCCCUGCCUCUCUCUCUGGUUUCAUGUCCCAACCUAACGUCGUCUACAGCAAGAACUCCAAGCCGCAAAUUGAGCACUUCUUCAAGCUCUUCUGAUUGCCUUCUCAUCCGUCAACAAUUGCAGGUCAAGCGUGAUAUUGUGCUGAGAGUGCUUGUGCUUUGGUCUCACCUUUUUCGGUUCUCAUUGUCAUUUGAUAUAGCUUGCUGCUUUGUCGAAUGAUUGUAGCUUAUAUGUAAGGGUUAAUUGCAUAUACUCUCUGUGGUAUCGUUUUUAAAUUGCAACCCCUGUAGUGUACACUGUUGCAGAUGUGCCCUUGGGUUAAAAUUGUGACUGUUUUACCCUUGGACUUACUAAUUUCUAGCUGAAGUCAAACAAAAGGAUAUUGGAUUCGGUUUGAUGUUAUUUGGGCCUUCUAUGUUCUCUGAGCUUAUUGCCAGAAGUAGAAGGAAUUGUUUUUGUAUGUUGACAAAUGAUUCCUGUGAAGUUUUAUGAGGACAAAUGAUUCCUGUGAAGUUUCUUA